UACGUAGGUGGCAAGCGUUGUCCGGAUUUACUGGGCGUAAAGGGAGCGUAGGCGGACUUUUAAGUGGGAUGUGAAAUACCCGGGCUUAACCUGGGUGCUGCAUUCCAAACUGGGAGUCUAGAGUGCAGGAGGGGAAAGUGGAAUUCCUAGUGUAGCGGUGAAAUGCGUAGAGAUUAGGAAGAACACCGGUGGCGAAGGCGACUUUCUGGACUGUAACUGACGCUGAGGCUCGAAAGCGUGGGGAGCGAAC
rnacentral:rRNA from 1 species